CCUACGGGAGGCAGCAGUGGGGAAUAUUGCACAAUGGGGGAAACCCUGAUGCAGCGACGCCGCGUGAGUGAAGAAGUAUUUCGGUAUGUAAAGCUCUAUCAGCAGGGAAGAGAAUGACGGUACCUGAGUAAGAAGCCCCGGCGAACUACGUGCCAGCAGCCGCGGUAAUACGUAGGGGGCAAGCGUUAUCCGGAAUUACUGGGUGUAAAGGGAGCGUAGACGGCGAAGAAAGUCAGAAGUGAAAGCCCGCGGCUCAACCGCGGAACUGCUUUGGAAACUUGUUUGCUGGAGUACCGGAGAGGUAAGCGGAAUUCCUAGUGUAGCGGUGAAAUGCGUAGAUAUUAGGAGGAACACCAGUGGCGAAGGCGGCUUACUGGACGGUAACUGACGUUGAGGCUCGAAAGCGUGGGGAGCAAACAGGAUUAGAUACCCUUGUAGUC
rnacentral:rRNA from 1 species